rnacentral:rRNA from 1 species
AUUGAACGCUGGCGGCAGGCCUAACACAUGCAAGUCGAACGAGUGGCGGACGGGUGAGUAAUGUCUGGGAAACUGCCUGAUGGAGGGGGAUAACUACUGGAAACGGUAGCUAAUACCGCAUACCAUCGGAUGUGCCCCGAUGGGAUUAGCUAGUAGGUGGGGUAACGGCUCACCUAGGCGACGAUCCCUAGCUGGUCUGAGAGGAUGACCAGCCACACUUGGAAUGAUGCCCGGGCCAGACUCCCACGGGGGGCAACCGUUGGGAAUAUUGGACCAUUGGCGCCAACCUUAAUCCGGCCUGCCGGGUUGAUGAAAGAGGCCCUCCGGUUGUUAAGGUCUUUCAGCGGGGAGACCUUUCCCGCAGAAGAAGCACCGGCUAACUCCGUGCCAGCAGCCGCGGUAAUUC